UACGGAGGGUGCAAACGUUGCUCGGAAUCAUUGGGCGUAAAGGGCGCGUAGGCGGCCUUCUAAGUCGAACGUGAAAUCCCCGGGCUCAACCCGGGAACUGCGUCCGAUACUGGAAGGCUUGAAUCCGGGAGAGGGAUGCGGAAUUCCCGGUGUAGCGGUGAAAUGCGCAGAUAUCGGGAGGAACACCAGUAGCGAAGGCGACACUCUGGGCCGGUACUGACGCUGAGGAGCGAAAGCGUGGGGAGCGAACAGG
rnacentral:rRNA from 1 species